CAAGUUGCGUCUGGGGAACUCCAUGAGGUGUCAGAAGACUUUCCACGUCGUGGUAUCUAACAGUUUUGGGGUUUCGCGCCCCGAACUUUAGAAAUUCAUAACUUUCACAUACGAGCUCCGUUUUCGACGUUCUUUAUAUCGACGCGUAGGUAAAAACAAGAUCUACAACUUUCAUUUAGACUCCGUAGGCUAAUUUUGAAUUUAUUUUUAUUAUGUUAGUUUGAUAUUAUUUUUAGUAGGCUGGGACAGGAAAACUCCGUUAUAAACUCAUAACUCCUUCAUCUGACGUCCGUUUUCGUCUAUCUUUCCGUCGUUGCAAUAUUAUCAAUGAGAUAUUCAAUUCUCAUUUAGAUUGUUUUGGCUAAGUAUCGCUCUAACGUAAAUUCACUAUUUACGUCGCGCUGUGUAUAUUAUCAAUGAGAUAUUCAAUUCUCAUUUAGAUUGUUUUGGCUAAGUAUCGGUCUAACGUAAAUUCACUAUUUACGUCGCGCUGUGUCGUGUCGGUUCUUUCGCGAAACUUCGAUAGGUCAUAACUUCUUCGUUAUAACUCGAAUUUCGGCGUUCUUUAUAUGUACGGAAUCCUUGUAACAUAUACUAUAACUUAGUUAAGAUUAAUACUUCUAAAUAACCUUCCAUCAAAAAGUCAUUUUUGAUGCUUAUCGUCUCUAAACUGACUGGCCCGGAUCUACGGGCGUUACACAUGAAUGGUUCCAAAAAUGGCUCCUUAAAGCCCUAAACUACCCAUGAAGAGAACUAGUAAUUGAAUGGACAAGGUAUAGACUUUAUAUCUCAGUAAGGCUACUUUGACAACAAAGUCUUUAGAUCCAAGGCUCCUUCCUUCAACCAAGCACUUCAAGCUUCCACUCCUUCAAGAAAAUGCUAAAGAAUCACUCUUUUUUCACUCACACACACUCAAAAGGCUCUAGAGCACCAGUUAGCGUUAUCUAGACUGAGGGAGGUGAUGAGGGAGGCCACAAUGGGGUGUUAAUGUCCUUAAAUAGGGUGAAAACCCUGGGAAUUAGGGUUUCACUCUGGCAUCUCUACUCGUCGAGUUGAGGCUCUCAACUCUUCGAGUAGACUUGGAGCCCCGCGUACAAAAAUCCAAUUCCAACUCGACUAGUUUGGCGCCUCUAACUCGUCGAGUCCCUUUGAAAAAACGAAUAAUUCUUUUUUAAAAUACGGAUCAGGAUUCGGGCGUUACAAUUACAUCAUUCAACUUCGUAUCUUUUCACCUAGGAUUUUCUUCUAUACAUCAUAAUUAGCCUAAUAAUCAAAAUUAGAUGUUUAAAAGUAUUGAUUCUUACCUUAUAUCAUCAAUUUAGCACUCUACUCUGAAUAGCUCCUCAAAGAUCAAACUUCUAAG
rnacentral:lncRNA from 1 species